rnacentral:sRNA from 1 species
AAAAGAAAAACAAACAAAAAA